UAGGGAAUCUUCCACAAUGGGCGAAAGCCUGAUGGAGCAACGCCGCGUGCAGGAUGAAUGCCUUCGGGUUGUAAACUGCUUUUAUUUGUGAUGAAUAUGACAGUAACAAAUGAAUAAGGGACGGCUAACUACGUGCCAGCAGCCGCGGUCAUACGUAGGUCCCAAGCGUUAUCCGGAAUUACUGGGCGUAAAGAGUUGCGUAGGCGGCUUGUUAAGCAAGGUGUGAAAGCGUACGGCUCAACCGUAUAUACAUACUUUGAACUGACAAGCUAGAGUGUAUGAGAGGUCACUGGAAUUUCUAGUGUAGGAGUGAAAUCCGUAGAUAUUAGAAGGAACACCGAUGGCGUAGGCAGGUGACUGGCAUAUUACUGACGCUAAGGCACGAAAGCGUGGGGAGCGAACGGGAUUAGAUACCCCCGUAGUCC
rnacentral:rRNA from 1 species